UACAGAGGUGCCGAGCGUUAGGCGGAAUCACUGGGCUUAAAGCGCGUGUAGGCGGGUCGUUAAGUGUCCGCGUGAAAUCCCACGGCUCAACCGUGGAACUGCCGGGCAUACUGGCGACCUUAAGGCACUUAGGGGCGAGCGGAACAAAUGGUGGAGCGGUGAAAUGCGUAGAUAUCAUUUGGAACGCCGACGGUGAAAACAGCUCGCUGGGAGUGUCCUGACGCUGAGACGCGAAAGCCAGGGGAGCGAACGGG
rnacentral:rRNA from 1 species